GACGAACGCUGGCGGCGUGCUUAACACAUGCAAGUCGAACGGAAAGGCUCCAGCUUGCUGGCGUACUCGAGUGGCGAACGGGUGAGUAACACGUGGGUAAUCUGCCCUGCACUCUGGGAUAAGCCUGGGAAACUGGGUCUAAUACUGGAUAUGACCUUUCUCCUUAUGGGGUUUGGUGGAAAGUUUUUCGGUGUAGGAUGAGCCCGCGGCCUAUCAGCUUGUUGGUGGGGUGAUGGCCUACCAAGGCGACGACGGGUAGCCGGCCUGAGAGGGUGAUCGGCCACAUUGGGACUGAGAUACGGCCCAGACUCCUACGGGAGGCAGCAGUGGGGAAUAUUGCACAAUGGGCGGAAGCCUGAUGCAGCGACGCCGCGUGAGGGAUGACGGCCUUCGGGUUGUAAACCUCUUUUAGCAGGGACGAAGCGUAAGUGACGGUACCUGCAGAAGAAGCACCGGCUAACUAUGUG
rnacentral:rRNA from 1 species